CCUACGGGAGGCAGCAGUGAGGAAUAUUGGUCAAUGGACGAGAGUCUGAACCAGCCAAGUAGCGUGAAGGAUGACUGCCCUAUGGGUUGUAAACUUCUUUUAUAUGGGAAUAAAAUGUUCCACGUGUGGGAUUUUGUAUGUACCAUAUGAAUAAGGAUCGGCUAACUCCGUGCCAGCAGCCGCGGUAAUACGGAGGAUCCGAGCGUUAUCCGGAUUUAUUGGGUUUAAAGGGCGCGUAGGUGGAUUGUUAAGUCAGUUGUGAAAGUUUGCGGCUCAACCGUAAAAUUGCAGUUGAAACUGGCAGUCUUGAGUACAGUAGAGGUGGGCGGAAUUCGUGGUGUAGCGGUGAAAUGCUUAGAUAUCGCGAAGAACACCGAUUGCGAAGGCAGUUCACUGGACUGCAACUGACACUGAGGCUCGAAAGUGUGGGUAUCAAACAGGAUUAGAUACCCUUGUAGUC
rnacentral:rRNA from 1 species